GUGCCAGCAGCCGCGGUAAUACGUAGGGUGCGAGCGUUGUCCGGAAUUACUGGGUGUAAAGGGUCCGCAGGCGGGCAAAUAAGUCAGAGGUGAAAUGCUUCGGCUCAACCGAAGAAAUGCCUUUGAUACUGUUUGUCUUGAAUCCGAGAGAGGAUAGUGGAAUUCAUGGUGUAGCGGUGAAAUGCGUAGAGAUCAUGAAGAACACCAGUAGCGAAGGCGGCUAUCUGGCUCGGUAUUGACGCUCAGGGACGAAAGCGUGGGUAGCAAACAGGAUUAGAAACCCUUGUAGUCC
rnacentral:rRNA from 1 species